UUCUUCAGGGUCGGGUGAAAUUCCCUACCGGUGGUACAGCCCACUAACGCUUUAUCAAAGCGCCGAAUCGGUGAAAUUCCGAUGCCGACGGUAAAGUCCGGAUGAGAGAGGAU
rnacentral:ncRNA from 1 species